rnacentral:rRNA from 1 species
UACGGAAGGGGGCAAGCGUUGUUUCGGAAUCAUUGGGCGUAAAGGGGCGCGAUAGGUGGUUCUGUAUGUCUACCGGUGAAAGCAUACAGCUCAACUGUAUUUUGUCGGUAGAAACUGCAGGACUGAGGCUGGGAGGGGCUGGUGGAAUUCCCUGUGUAGCGGUGAAAAUGCACAGAUAUCAGGAGGAACACCGGUGGCGAAGGCGGAUCUCUGGGCCAUACUGACGCUGAGGAGCGAAAGGCGUGGGGAGCAACAGG